rnacentral:ncRNA from 19 species
UUCGUUCAUCCAAAGCCUAUGGCUUUUGCCAGGUUUAGGACGGAAGUAGGUAGCGGCUCAGCUGUUACGCGAAGGAACGUACC